rnacentral:rRNA from 1 species
GNNAUGGCGGCGUGCUAUACAUGCAAGUCGAGCGAACAGACAAGGAGCUUGCUCCUUUGACGUUAGCGGCGGACGGGUGAGUAACACGUGGGUAACCUACCUAUAAGACUGGGAUAACUUCGGGAAACCGGAGCUAAUACCGGAUAAUAUUUCGAACCGCAUGGUUCGAUAGUGAAAGAUGGUUUUGCUAUCACUUAUAGAUGGACCCGCGCCGUAUUAGCUAGUUGGUAAGGUAACGGCUUACCAAGGCGACGAUACGUAGCCGACCUGAGAGGGUGAUCGGCCACACUGGAACUGAGACACGGUCCAGACUCCUACGGGAGGCAGCAGUAGGGAAUCUUCCGCAAUGGGCGAAAGCCUGACGGAGCAACGCCGCGUGAGUGAUGAAGGUCUUCGGAUCGUAAAACUCUGUUAUUAGGGAAGAACAUACGUGUAAGUAACUAUGCACGUCUUGACGGUACCUAAUCAGAAAGCCACGGCUAACUACGUGCCAGCAGCCGCGGUAAUACGUAGGUGGCAAGCGUUAUCCGGAAUUAUUGGGCGUAAAGCGCGCGUAGGCGGUUUUUUAAGUCUGAUGUGAAAGCCCACGGCUCAACCGUGGAGGGUCAUUGGAAACUGGAAAACUUGAGUGCAGAAGAGGAAAGUGGAAUUCCAUGUGUAGCGGUGAAAUGCGCAGAGAUAUGGAGGAACACCAGUGGCGAAGGCGACUUUCUGGUCUGUAACUGACGCUGAUGUGCGAAAGCGUGUGGAUCAAACAGGAUUAGAUACCCUGGUAGUCCACGCCGUAAACGAUGAGUGCUAAGUGUUAGGGGGUUUCCGCCCCUUAGUGCUGCAGCUAACGCAUUAAGCACUCCGCCUGGGGAGUACGACCGCAAGGUUGAAACUCAAAGGAAUUGACGGGGACCCGCACAAGCGGUGGAGCAUGUGGUUUAAUUCGAAGCAACGCGAAGAACCUUACCAAAUCUUGACAUCCUUUGACAACUCUAGAGAUAGAGCCUUCCCCUUCGGGGACAAAGUGACAGUGUGCAUGAUGUCGUCAGCUCGUGUCGUGAGAUGUUGGGUAAGUCCCGCAACGAGCGCACCCUUAAGCUAGUGCCAUCAUUAAGUUGGGCACUCUAGUUGACU